rnacentral:rRNA from 1 species
AUCAUUAACAGAGUAGGUCUUCGAAGGCCCGACCUCCCACCCUUUGAUUACUAGACCUCUGUUGCUUCGGCGGACCCGUCCCAUAAAGACCGCCGGAGGACCGCCCAACCAGGCGGUCCUUUGGCCAGUGUUCGCCGACAGCCUCAUCAUCCCAAUUCUGGAAUAAUCGUGACAAUACUAAGUGAAUUUAUUCAAUUCAAAAGCAAAAACUUUCAACAACGGAUCUCUUGGUUCUGGCAUCGAUGAAGAACGCAGCGAAAUGCGAUAAGUAAUGCGAAUUGCAGAAUUCCAGUGAGUCAUCGAAUCUUUGAACGCACAUUGCGCCCUUUGGUAUUCCGAAGGGCAUGCCUGUUCGAGCGUCAUUAUCACCCCCCCUCAAGCCUCGUGCUUGGUGUUGGACGACUUGGCAGAAGGGGCACACCCUUCCGCCCGUCCUAAAGACAAUGACGGCAGCCUCGUGGAGCCCCCGGUACACUGAGCUUCUUGACUGAGCACGUAUCGGAUCAAGGGCGCCCCGGGCACGGUCCUCUCCCCCCUUACGGGGAAAUUCUCUCAAGGUUGACC